rfam:Rattus norvegicus chromosome 6, whole genome shotgun sequence.
GGAAUUUAGCUCAGUGGUAGAGCGCUUGCCUAGGAAGCGCAAGGCCCUGGGUUCGGUUCCCAGCUCCG